AUUGAACGCUGGCGGCAGGCCUAACACAUGCAAGUCGAGCGGAUGAGGGAAGCUUGCUUCCUGAUUUAGCGGCGGACGGGUGAGUAAUGCCUAGGAAUCUGCCUGUUAGUGGGGGAUAACGUUCCGAAAGGAACGCUAAUACCGCAUACGUCCUACGGGAGAAAGUGGGGGAUCUUCGGACCUCACGCUAACAGAUGAGCCUAGGUCGGAUUAGCUUGUUGGUGAGGUAAUGGCUCACCAAGGCGACGACCGUAACUGGUCUGAGAGGAUGAUCAGUCACACUGGAACUGAGACACGGUCCAGACUCCUACGGGAGGCAGCAGUGGGGAAUAUUGGACAAUGGGCGAAAGCCUGAUCCAGCCAUGCCGCGUGUGUGAAGAAGGUCUUCGGAUUGUAAAGCACUUUAAGUUGGGAGGAAGGGCAGUAAGUUAAUACCUUACUGUUUUGACGUUACCGACAGAACAAGCCCCGGCUAACUCUGUGCCAGCAGCCGCGGUAAAAC
rnacentral:rRNA from 1 species